rnacentral:lncRNA from 1 species
ACUUCCACAUUUACUCAUUUUAAGUGGGCAUGUAUAAUACAAGAGCAUUCCUCAUGUGGUCAUCCGUCAUCACUGUGUUGUGUGCCAGAUAAAGACUUUCUACCAGAAUCCAUGUCAGUGGAUAAAUAUUCCCCAUAUUUUUUGUUCCUCAGUUAAGUAGUGUCUCCAGCAGUUGGUAUGAGAGAACAUUUCUCCUGAUAGGAAGAGGGUUGAAGAUAAUUUGGGAUAUUGAGUCUUUGGGCAUAAAGAGAAUACAGAAAACCUCUUACUCAUUAUCAAGAUAAGAGUAGCAGAGAUAGGAAAAUACAGACAAUAAUCUGGGCCUCCGUGGUGUUACAUCUUCAGAAUUAUAAGGUGUUCCUUUUACCAGUGUAUUUGUCAAGUAAUGCCUCAAAUGCCUUAAGAGAAGGGAUUGAUUGGGUAUGGUCACUAGAGAGAAGUCGUUACAGGAGACAGCAUUUGUGAGGUACACAGAGGUCUCCUUAUGAUACUAUGAGGUCUGACUCUGCCUGGAUCCCCUUCCACAGCUGUGUUAUACCUGCUGCAGAGAAUAAAUAGGAGUGGGGGCAGCUGGUGGGUCAUGCCAUGGACAGGGAAAAAAUGGAGACCAUUGCUUCUCUACUUACUCUAUUCAUUCUGAUUUCAGCUUACCUCAGGCCCAUCAUUGCUAUUUAUAGACCACUGAGAAUCACUCAGGAAUUUCAGAAUGAUUCUUAGUGCACACUGGGCAUUGGAUUUUCUAAGAUCCAAGUCUGCUAAAAAUUAUCAAUCUGAGAUCUGGCUUUAAAGCUCUGUCACUCUUUAUUCUGUUUCUGAUGUCUUUGGUUGUGAGCACUUUUUGACCUUUUUAAUACAAUUUUGGUUUGACUUUAGGAAGGAAUACACAUGUAUUCACACCCUCUCAUCCAGCAUAAUAAAUCAGUUACACCAAGUACAACUUUCCUGAAUCCUCAUAGCCAUGAACAAAUAGGUUGACUGUGAUGGCAUGACCAGAAUCCAGGACCCACGGGGGAAGAGUGAGGAAGUGUCAUGGGAUUAAGUUCUUGUUGGGAACACUGGGACUACCUAUGACAGAAAAGGUGACUUUGUGAAAAAAAUCCCCAAGGAACAAAUUUUUGUAGCUGACAUUUUAGUACCCAUUGGAGAGUUACAGAAGCCUGACUGGGCUCUAGAAGGUUUUCAUCCUGGAAAAAUGAAGGCAAAGAGAGCACCAAGCAGGAAAUGAGGAAAGGAGCAUUUGGCUUUCAGGUACUGGCAAUCUAAAGUGAUAUGAAAUAAUCCAUCCCCAACUGGUUAAACAUUUUUAAAAAAAUAUUUAAUGAUUAAAUGACAGAAUCCUAUCUCUUCUUCAAACUAUUUGGAAGGCCAAGAGUUUCACCAGUACUCUCUUGAUAUCUAUCAAGCCAAUUUUAAUUUCUUAAGAUCCACAUAUUCUGAUCUGCAUUUAUCAUAGAUUAUAUAGCAUUUUUCUUUGAUAAUGUAAUUGUUUUAUUAGGGAAAUGGAUUUUAGAUCAUACACAAGAUAUAGUUAUAUUUAUUCAGUAAUCCUUUGUUAUAAAAGGAAUAAAUUACUGAAGAGUGGAAAAUGUUGAUGUUACCAAUUUUUUUAAGUAACCACCCAGAAUCAUAUAUAUUACCUUCCAGUCUUUUUUGUAUUUGCUGUGUGUUUGUAUGCCUUUUGUGAGGAAGCUGUUUUCACACUAGUUAACUAACAAUAAAAAAAAGAUAUAAUGGGAAUCUGGCCCCAUGGAGCAUUGAAGAUCUUUAACCCAGUUCUACAUGAGAGUUGCAAAAAUGUGAUACUCCAGGCUAACCUGUCACUCUCCACAGGUAUGAAGCUCAUAGAUCUUCAGCACUUUGAGGGUUCAUAGUUGCAAUGGUAUCUAGUAUCCCUAAAGCAUCACCAGAUUUCUUAUCAGCUUUGGGACUGGGGCUGACAAGUGAUCCAGCACUAGUGGAAUUUGAUUGGUUGUGCCAAAUGGUAUGUCUCAACUCUGAGAAUCUGUGAUCUCACUAAAAUCAUUGAUAAGAAAAUCUGUGAUCUCACUAAAACCAUUGAUAAUCACUCUGAAU